UUUCCACUAGACUUGUGUUAUGGACGGAUUUUACGGGCUGUGAUUGGUCGUAUUCAAAUCAAUGACAUUUGAUGACAUUUAAAAGAAAUACGUAAUCCUGUUUUCUCGUUUGUUUUUGUUUAUGCAGUGUGUUUAUGUUAUACAAAAGAAAAAUAUUGAUAUUUUAGUUAUUAAUCUUGGAUUUUGAGACUAUUUUAUACGUUUAUACUUGUUUAUUGUAUUCAUUUUUAAACAGCCAUAUUAUUUCCAGCAAAAGUUAUGGAACGUUUACAGAUACAUAGUAAUAUUUAUAAAAAAAAAACAAAUUACUUUCUGCUUGCUUCCUAUAUUUUGUAAAUUUUUAAAGCUUCCUCCCAGACUCAUUUGAGUAUAAGGUGGUUCAUUUUUCCGAAAUAAAUGGAAAGGAUGGCGCAUUUAAUGCAGUGAUUUGAGCUAAUAUAACAACACAAGAAGAUGCUCAAAAUUGUCAAAAAGAAUAUGAAAAUAUUAAUAAAGUAAAUUUUAGAGUUCUAAGAACUUAUCCAAAUGAUUCUAUGAAGCUUGUUUUCAAGAAAGACUAUCGAUGCCAUCGCAAUACUCAGGCUAAUUUGCCUUCAUCAAAGACAAAAAAUCCGUCAUCUAAACAUGUUAACUGUCAGGCAUUCUUAAUAAUUACAGUGAAACCAUCAAGUAUGAAAAGGUAAAGUCUAUUUGCUAAUCUGAGACACAACUACUGUCUAGUGACGUUGGUAAUUUUUUUUGAGAAGUUAGGUUGCUAGAUGUAACUGGAAAAGACUACACAACCAAACAUAACUACUCAUAGCCAAUAUUAUUAUUAACAGUAAACAGGCAUAAAUAACAUAACAUACACCAUACACCAAUCAAUAAUUAUUUAUUUAAACCUUUAUAAUGUAUUGAUAACAGAUGAUAAAAGUAUUUAUUGUACAAAAUAAAAAUAUUUUAUAGAAAUAAAUUCCACAAAAUUUUAUGAGUUUAGUAUACACUCCCAUUAUUUCCAACAAUUAUUUUUUUUUAGUGAAAGAUCAAGUUGAUUUGAGCAGUUAAUAUCUAUUGUUGGGUAGGAAUUUUUGUGUUGUAAAGAGAACACUUAUAUAUUACGAUUAUAGAUAUUAAAGCUGCUUUUGAUUGUAUAAAUAGAGAAAUAAUAUGGUCAGUAAUGGAAGACCUGGAAAGCCCACAAAAGAUAAUAAGCCUGGCAAAAAGUACAUAUAAAAGUAUAUAGAAAUGUACUGGCUAAAGUACAAAUAAACGGAAACUGAUUGCCAAUAAUAAAUCUAAGAGGAAUAAAACAAGGGGACAGUUUCAUUCAUAUUAGUAAUGGAUCGAGUAAUGAAGAGUGCUAUAAGAAGGUCAAGGCAAACAGUCAACAAUAGGGUAUAGGAAUUUAGUACCAGUGAAAAUGGAAGGAUUACUAUAUGCAGAUGACCUAGAAAUAAUAUCAGAUAAAGAAAAAAUGCAAAAAUUAAUGAAUAUAUGGGUGGAAGAAAUAGAAAAUUUGAAAAUGGAGGUAAAUGUAAAGAAAACGAAGACCAUGAUAGUAACCCAAAAGAAAAGGGAAGAAAUAAACCAAACGUUAUUUAGUCGCAAAAAUGAAAUAAUGGAAACAAUCUCGACGUUUGAAUACCUGGGAGUAAUAAUAUCAGAGGAUGGAAAGGUAGACAAAGAAAUCUCAUACAGGGCGAAAAAAGCAAAUAAGAUCUACUAUGCACUAAAUAAAACAAUAUUUGGAAAGGAAGAAAUAAAA
rnacentral:lncRNA from 1 species